CAUUGCGAAGCUUAAAGCGUUAACCUUUUAAGUUAAAGAUAGAGAUAUCAAAUCUCCGCAGUGA
rnacentral:tRNA from 1 species